UACGAAGGGGGCGAGCGUUGUUCGGAUUUACUGGGCGUAAAGGGCGCGUAGGCGGCCCUCCUUGUCGCGUGUGAAAGCCCCGGGCUCAACCUGGGAACGGCGCGCGAGACGGGUGUGCUGGAGGGCAGGAGAGGCUCGCGGAAUUCCCAGUGUAGAGGUGAAAUUCGUAGAUAUUGGGAAGAACACCGGUGGCGAAGGCGGCGAGCUGGCCUGUACCUGACGCUGAGGCGCGACAGCGUGGGGAGCAAACAGG
rnacentral:rRNA from 1 species